UACAGAGGAGCGGAGGGGGGUGUCCAGUGGAUUGUUGCUGGGGUCUGGGCUGAUUCAGCAUGUUCUGCGCGACUGAUGACCUCGUUAUGGCGUGCGCAGACAUGCCUGUUUGCAGCGGGCUGAUUCGGCCACCUGAGAGUAUGCUUUCAUUUCCAAAACUACUCCUUGGUUAAUUGACAUUUUAUUUUUAUUUAUUGUAGGUACAGUUUUAUUUUCCAUUAUAAAUGGAAAUGAUGAUAAUUCUCAGAAAGAGACAAAUCAAAAUAAAGGAUUCUUUCACAAACUAUCAGAACUAUCAGAACUAUCCCCCAUGUCUAUUAAGGAAGACUCAGAAGAUGAUCUUAGCAAUUUAAGAAUCUGGUAUCAUCUUGAGAUCCACUCCUCUCCUGGACCACCCCUAAAUAUUAUUGAAAUGAAAUGUAUUGCUCUGGUAAGACCACAUUAAAUGUCCAUAGAUUCUUUCAUUUGUCAAACAGAACUUUUGUCAUACAUUAAAUUUCAAUCCAUAAAAACAAUCUAUAUCAAAUAAGUAUAUUGAAA
rnacentral:lncRNA from 1 species